CUCUGAUUGGGCAAUCAGGGUCAAGAGGUACUCCUGGGGACUCAUGCUGGUCCCCGUCACUCACCGUGCACCCACAUCCUGCUCAGGCUCUGCAUGGAAGACUUCCGGGCUGACUGUGCUCAGCUCUUCUGUUUGCUAGACCUUCACGGGUUGCAACAGCAAGCAUGGACUUUGCAGACAGAAAGACUUGGGUUUGAAUCCCAGCUCUGUCACCAUCCGACUGUGUGAUAUGGGGUUUUGCAGGCUCAUCCUUGGGGCCAGGACUAUAGAGAGGCAAGUGACCAGACGCCGAAGACAAAAAUUCCUCCAGGUUCAAACUUGCCCUACCCUGCUUCGAUGCAUAAGCAGUUGACUCAAUAAAGAUGUGUCUCUGACCCAGCCCUUGCCUCUGUACCUCAAAUCCAGGAGUUCUUCUCCUGAGUGUUAUUUUGCAUAAGCUUGGGUAAUUGAUGACCACUGGUCUCCCCACUUGAGACUGCAAGCCUCUUGAGGACAGAGACCCAACAUCCCGCCCAGAGCCCGGCAUGAAGUGGGUGCCCAGUGAUCCAAUGGUUUUCAUUCCUUUCCCUAUUUCCACCCUUUCUUGUCUGUUCAUUCAAACUGACAUUGAUCGACGAAGACCUCCUGCCCCUCCCAGCGCUGCCUGCACUCACACUCCAGUCACGUGGGAAACACUUCCCUGCUCCUCUCUGUCCACCCACGUAGCCACAUCCAUCCAUUGCUUCCUCCAAAUCCCCACUCUAGUGUCACCUCCUUCAGGAAGCCUGCCUAGCCCCACACAGAAUACCGCUGAUCCCAAUCCCCUCUCCCUAAGGAAUCCAGGAACCCAGAGGGUUUCAUAGGAUGAAAAGACUUGUGCACCCCUGGUGACCUGGAGUCAUACUCAGUCCAGUGACCCCACUGGGCUGUUCCCAGUUCCCCCAGGGAUGUCUGUCAGCUUCCUGUUUAGGUGACCCUCUUCUUGGCCUUGCUCAAGCCCCUUCCCAGGCUGACUGGAGUAAGGACGCCUGUGAGACCACGAGAAACCUGUGUCUGUAUAGCCUGGUCAUUGGUCACUGGAGGUUGUGUUGUAGAGGGAACCAUCGGGGUACUGAGAGAAACCCAGGUAGGUAUUUAGCAGAGAGGACAACCGGUAUCCGAAAAGGAGCCCAGGCCAGUGGCCUGGAGGAGUGCUGCCCCUGAGUCCCUGGGUGCCUCUUCCACUGCCCUCCUUUCCUCAGAGCUGUCCCUUGUCCCCAUGGAGCUGGCCUCUCACAGAGCCAUAACCAGCAUUCGCAUCAUUGGUAACAAGAGGUCAGUGAAGGUGCUGGCUCGGAGCAGAGCCUGGAGCAAAGCCGCAAUGAGUGAGACAGAGGAAGCACAAAAGUGCUUCUUCCCUCUGGGCCCAGGGGCUGCCAGGUGAGUAGGGGCCACAGGGAUGGCUGAGUGGGUGUCCUAGCUCCUUGGAACAGAACACUGGUGUCAUCACCCUGGGUGGGGCUGCCUGUCCUCUACCUCCUCCUCCCAGCUAGGACAACUUUGCUAACAGCCUAAUCGCCAGUGUCUAGAGCACCUUCUGAGAGCUGUGUCUGGCCCAGAUCUGGGGCUGGUCUUCACCCCAUUUUCUGUGAGGUCACAGAUCCUGAGUUUCCUAAUCCCUGAAGCUGAGGAGGCUGCUCAGAGCCUGAGCCAUUUCCAGGUCAGGAGCCUUGGCACAUCUCAAGCCAGCAAGGCAGUGGGGUCUGCAGGCCACCCACCCGGGCACAGUGACCACCAGCCCUGCACCAUCACCUGGAUGGGGCUGGAUUGGAGACAACUGAAGCACUAUCCCUGCAGACAGAUGCCAGCCAAGGCUGGGUGAUGAGGGCCCCACAGCCACAUAUCAGACUUUGGGGACCCUGCCCAGCAACCUUUGGGUCAAGUUCAACUCACAAUUCUCUGCAUGUGCACACGUGUGCACACACACACACACGCAUGCCACUGCACUCUUAAAUCCCUGCACAGCAGCAAACACAGGGUGUCCCCCACAUGCACCCACAAACACGUAAACACAUUUAUAUACACACACAGACCCACUUACCAACUCAUGUAGUUCCCCGAUACACG
rnacentral:lncRNA from 1 species